GGGCGUGUAGCUCAACUGGUUAGAGCUGGCCGCUCAUAACGGUCUGGUUAUCGGUUCAAGUCCGGUCACGCCCA
rfam:Skermanella aerolata KACC 11604 strain 5416T-32 contig11, whole genome shotgun sequence.